AUUGAACGCUGGCGGCAUGCCUAACACAUGCAAGUCGAACGGUUGUUGGCUGCUUGGUGCUUGCAUCAGCGGCGGACGGGUGAUUACUGCCGGGUAAUCUGCACGGGAGUAGGCUACCACUUCGAGAGAGGUGCCACUAUACCACAUGUGCUAUGAGGGAGAAAGAGGGUGUGCUUCGGACCUCACGAUUGCAGAUGACCUUAGGGCGGAUUAGCUAGUUGGUGGGGUAAAGGCUCACCAAGGCGACGAUGCGUAGCUGGUCUGAGAGGAUGAUCGGUCACACUGGGACUGAGACACGGCCCAGACUCCUACGGGAGGCAGCAGUGGGGAAUCUUGGACAAUGGGCGAAAGCCUGAUCCAGCAAUGCCGCGUGAGUGAAGAAGGUCUUCGGAUUGUAAAGCGCUUUUGUUAGGGAAGAACGGGAGCUGGUUAAUACCAAGGUCUUUUGACGGUACCGAAAGAAUAAGCACCGGCUAACUACGUG
rnacentral:rRNA from 1 species